AUUGAACGCUGGCGGCAGGCUUAACACAUGCAAGUCGAGCGGAAACGAUAGUAGCUUGCUACUAGGCGUCGAGCGGCGGACGGGUGAGUAAUACUUAGGAAUCUGCCCAGUAGAGGGGGAUAGCUCGGGGAAACUCGAAUUAAUACCGCAUACACCUUACGAGGGAAAGGGGGCGCUUGCGCUCUCGCUAUUGGAUGAGCCUAAGACGGAUUAGCUAGUUGGUGGGGUAAGGGCCUACCAAGGCGACGAUCUGUAGCUGGUCUGAGAGGAUGAUCAGCCACACCGGAACUGAGACACGGUCCGGACUCCUACGGGAGGCAGCAGUGGGGAAUAUUGGACAAUGGGGGCAACCCUGAUCCAGCCAUGCCGCGUGUGUGAAGAAGGCCUUUUGGUUGUAAAGCACUUUAAGCAGUGAAGAAGAUCUAUUGGCUAAUACCUGAUAGUGAUGACAUUAGCUGCAGAAUAAGCACCGGCUAACUCUGUGCCAGCAGCCGCGGUAAUACAGAGGGUGCGAGCGUUAAUCGGAAUUACUGGGCGUAAAGCGAGCGUAGGUGGUUUAAUAAGUCAGAUGUGAAAUCCCCGGGCUUAACCUGGGAACUGCAUCUAAAACUGUUAGACUAGAGUAGAUGAGAGGGAGGUAGAAUUUCAGGUGUAGCGGUGAAAUGCGUAGAGAUCUGAAGGAAUACCGAUGGCGAAGGCAGCCUCCUGGCAUCAUACUGACACUGAGGUUCGAAAGCGUGGGUAGCAAACAGGAUUAGAUACCCUGGUAGUCCACGCCGUAAACGAUGUCUACUAGUCGUUGGGGGACAUGAUCUCUUAGUGACGCAGCUAACGCGAUAAGUAGACCGCCUGGGGAGUACGGCCGCAAGGUUAAAACUCAAAUGAAUUUGACGGGGGCCCGCACAAGCGGUGGAGCAUGUGGUUUAAUUCGAUGCAACGCGAAGAACCUUACCUGGUCUUGACAUACAGAGAAUCUUGUAGAGAUACGAGAGUGCCUUCGGGAAUUCUGAUACAGGUGCUGCAUGGCUGUCGUCAGCUCGUGUCGUGAGAUGUUGGGUUAAGUCCCGCAACGAGCGCAACCCUUUUCCUUAGUUACCAGCGAUUUGGUCGGGGACUUUAAGGAUACUGCCAGUGACAAACCGGAGGAAGGCGGGGACGACGUCAAGUCAUCAUGGCCCUUACGACCAGGGCUACACACGUGCUACAAUGGUAGGUACAGAGGGCAGCGACACGGCGACGUGUAGCGAAUCUCAAAAAGCCUAUCGUAGUCCGGAUUGGAGUCUGCAACUCGACUCCAUGAAGUCGGAAUCGCUAGUAAUCGCGGAUCAGAAUGCCGCGGUGAAUACGUUCCCGGGCCU
rnacentral:rRNA from 1 species